rnacentral:rRNA from 1 species
AUUGAACGCUGGCGGCAUGCCUUACACAUGCAAGUCGAACGGCAGCACGGGGGCAACCCUGGUGGCGAGUGGCGAACGGGUGAGUAAUAUAUCGGAACGUGCCCUAGAGUGGGGGAUAACGUAGCGAAAGUUACGCUAAUACCGCAUACGAUCUAAGGAUGAAAGUGGGGGAUCGCAAGACCUCAUGCUCGUGGAGCGGCCGAUAUCUGAUUAGCUAGUUGGUGGGGUAAAAGCCUACCAAGGCGACGAUCAGUAGCUGGUCUGAGAGGA